rnacentral:rRNA from 1 species
AUUGAACGCUGGCGGCAGGCCUAACACAUGCAAGUAGAACGGAGUGGCGGACGGGUGAGUAAUGUCUGGGGAACUGCAUGGUAGUGGGGGAUAACGUCCGGGAACGGGCGCUAAUACCGCAUCCUAUCAGAUGAGCCUAGGUCGGAUUAGCUAGUUGGUGGGGGAAAGGCCUACAAAGGCGACGAUACGUAACUGGUCUGAGAGGAUGAUCAGUCACACUGGAACGGAGACACGGUCCAGACCCCUACGGGAGGCAGCAGUGGGGAAGAUUGGACAUUGGGCGAAAUCCUGAUCCAGCCAUGCCGCGUGUGUGAAGAAGCUCUUCGGAUUGUAAAGCACUUUAAGUUGGGAGGCGUUACCAACAUAAUAAGCACCGGCUAACUUCGUGCCAGCAGCCGCGGUAAUUC